rnacentral:rRNA from 1 species
UACGUAGGGGGCUAGCGUUGCCCGGAAUCAUUGGGCGUAAAGCGCGUGUAGGCGGUUCGGUAAGUCCGCUGUGAAAGUCGGGGGCUCAACCCUCGAAUGCCGGUGGAUACUGUCGGACUAGAGUACGGAAGAGGCGAGUGGAAUUCCUGGUGUAGCGGUGAAAUGCGCAGAUAUCAGGAGGAACACCUAUGGCGAAGGCAGCUCGCUGGGACGGUACUGACGCUGAGACGCGAAAGCGUGGGGAGCGAACAGG